CAAUGCUCACUGUGCUGUGUGGGAGAUGCACAACCCCCGCCCUCAUAUGAAAAAAGUGGAUAAGCAGAAGACUAUCUGUGAGAUCUGAUAUUAUCAGAAGUCUGAGAAUCUCAUUUUCCUCAAGACUGCAUUUGUCUGUCUUGUCUGAGAGAUUGAUGAAGAAAAGUAUUGCUUCCAGUGUUCUGCUCUUGAUGCUCUUCAAGUCACAGUCAAGACCACAUUGAUCACACUUUUUGAGUGUAUGAUAUCAUGUGAAAAUCAAUGUAACAAUAUCUCACUAAUCAUUUCACAGAUGGCCUUAAGGCCAUGAUUCAUUGUGGAUGAGUGACCCUCACUGUGAGGGAUAUUAGAUUGGUGGUGGAGAUCACCCAAGGAUUGAGUAGUAAUUUUUUUG
rnacentral:sRNA from 1 species